rnacentral:lncRNA from 1 species
GAAGAGCCCUCUCUUAUUAAUUAGUGCUUUUCUUCCAUCGAUUCUGUGGGCUAUGGAGGAGGCAUAGGCAUCAUCCACUGACCAUAUGCAUAUUACACUUUGGCUCUCAUUCAUGAAUCCCUGUCAAAGGCUUUGAAUGACACCAAAAACAACUUCAUGGAAGACAGUAGGAGAUUGGCUAAAUAAAAUAUGUACCAUUAAUAAGAUCAGAUAUAUGCAGCAAUUAACAAUUAUGUUGUCUUUUAAUAUCAGUAAUAUGAAAAUAAUCUCUAAUGCAUCACUAAAUGAAAAACGGAGUACUAAGUGUGAUAUGUGAUAUGAUCCCUACUAUAUUUUAAAUAAUAGUGUAUAUUGUAUGGAGAAUAAAAGCCAAAAGGAAUUAAAUAUCAAAAUAUUAUCUUUGGAUAGUAAGAUUGUCAUUAGUGAUUUUUCUUUAUUUCUCAAAUUUUCUGCCUCAGUUUUUUUACUUUUUGUACUCAGAAAAGUUGACACAUUUUAUUUUGAAAUUCUUCUUCCAUUGUCUCUACCACUUAAAAAUAACAAAGGGACUUAAGAAUAAUAUAAAAUAUACUAAAUCAUUACCCAAUAAGGCUAGGGCAAGCCAAACAGCAAAACCCAGCAUGUUAUGGGAACACAGAAGACCUCAGUCUGAAUUAGAUGCAGUGGCUGCGAGGGAAGGCAAGGGGCUUCUGCAGAGGAGGGUGGUGUGCUGGCCACAGCACCUGCCUCCAGCUGUACCCCACUCAUACUCCUUAACAGGCUCCCUUCCUUCACCAUGCAGCUAUUUACCUCAGGGCCCUCUGUUUUUGACUGUAAUAUCAGUGGACUUUUUAAUUAAGCUGGCAAAUUUAUUGUAUAUAUUUAUAUUUUGUUAGUUUACAUUAGAGUUCUUCAGGCAACAAGAACCUUUUCAUACUAAGGACAGAAUGCUGCCUCAGAAAAGUGCUGACAUUAGUGAUUUGCCUUUGGGUAAUUUGUAUUCUACACAAGAUACCCAAGUCAGAGCUGCAGAGAUUGUCUCCUUGCUAUCUCUCUACAGCAUGAUGAUCCUUGAGCAGAUGUCAUGUGGCUGGUACCUUCACUCACCCUGUCCACAAGCCUUAAAGCUCUGACCUUUGACAUUGUCAGUGCAGAUCUGUGUGAUGCUAAAGACACAUAAGUCCAAGUGCCCUUCACCAGCUUAGAGACACAGAUUCUGCCUUCAGGCAGGCCCUACCACCUUUGCUCCUGAAGGGGCAAUUUGUCCUGAAGAUGUCCACAGCCUGCUCAGCUGAAAGCCUCAUUACCAUCCAGGUUAAUGACAGAGUGAUGAAAAUUGUCAGGACAGGGGCUCUGUUAAGGUAGAGCUUUUAGCUGGGCGCGGUGGCACACUUCUGUAAUCCCAGCAGCUCAGGAAGCUGAGACUGCAGAAUCAUGAGUUCAAACCAGCCUCUGCAAAAGCAAGGUACUAAGCAACUCAGUAAGAUCCUGUCUCUAGAUAAAAUACAAAAUAGGGCUGGGGAUAUGGUUCAGUGGUCUGGUGCCCCUGAGUUUAGUGCCCAGUACAAAAAAAAAGAAAAAAGAAAAGAUGGAGCUUUUAACAUGAAGAGCAGUAGAAAAAAGAAGCCAGUAACCUGAUUAGUAACCAGAUGGGGGUGUUCAUGUCAGUUGCUUUUCAUUGUAGGAGAGGUGAGGGUUUUCCAGGUCUACAGUUUGUGUGGAUGAUACAGAUGCUCCUUGAAAUUCCAGACCUCUGUGUUUGAAUUUUUGUAGAACUGGAAAAAAAGGCCACCUUCUUAAUGUUCUGUUCUUUUUUUCCACUUGUGUAUCUGGACCCCUUAAUCUAUUCUCUGAAAUAACCACUGCCCUGAGGUUUCUGGAUUCCUAACUCCGUGUUUUAGAUUUCAGCUCAGCCACCACCUCAGAUUUAGGUUGUUUUCGUUAUCCUCUGCUGCUGCUUUUAUAGUGCAGGGGGUGCUUAGCUAAACAUGAAGGGGUGAAUAUUGAGUUUAUUAUCAUGUUUAUUAUUUCUCACAACCAUAAUUUAAUUAUUGACUAUAUGCCAAGCCUAUAUUGGGUGUUUUGCUGAUAUUCCUUGUGUAUCCUCAUUGCAUUUAUGAAUCAGGAGCAAUCUGUGUGAGGCAGUUGAAACUUAAGACGGGGAAGUAGCCAGCACUGCACAGCCAAAAAGCAGGAGUAUCCCAAAGUCCUAUUUCAGGCUUAAAACUGCCUGAUUUCAAAACCUGUGUUUGUGACCUUACAUUUUAUUCCAGAAAUUCCCAUUUGUUUUCACUUGCAUUUGUCAUGGAACAACAUUUGAAAGUUUAUAACCAACUAGGAAAAUGUGGAAACAUUUUUAAGAGAAUCUAUGGCAAUUCCUGCUGCUGAGAUGCCUCAUCUCACUCUUCACUACCACAUGCAAACUCCAGGACAGUGCACAGGAACGUUCAGUCAAGUGUGUUUUUUAUUGCUAGAGAGCAUCUGUCUAAAAACCUUUCUUUCUGGUCUGCUGGGAUAGAGAACGAGACUCCAAAAAAGGAACCAUUCUCACUUCUCUGCAUCAAGUCCUUGUUUACCCCAAAGCAUUAGUCUAUAUCAUUCUCUCCUAGGGUCCACAAAGCCCCUCAAGUCCCAAACCAGGCCUCCCUAAAGUUUGUGUUCUAUGGAAGGAAGAUGGCCAACUGACCCCCAAGUGGAAUCAUGUUUCCUUCCCCUACCUUUCCACUUCUGUACUAUUUAUAGAGCUCAAUGCACAUGUUCAGUGGUUUUAUUGCUUUAUUAGGCCCCUCACCAAGAGGUUAUGAAGGCAUGGCAGGUAGUAUGAAAGGGGCCACCAAUGAUGUUGGGUGUUGUGGAUGUAGGAGUAGCAGGACUUUUGUCUUACUUCACUUUAUGAUUGACCUUAACCAACUGUCAGAAAACUGAUGACUACACAGUUGUCAGUCACUUAAUGUGAAUUUUCCUGACAGAAAUACAGUUUUUCUAAGGGACCUAAUACUCUACUUAAUUAAUACUACUUUCUGACUAUAAAAUUUAACCUUGAUAGUGAUGCUAUAAUUAGAAUGUUAUUUUCUAAGAAUGAUAUCGUGGCAUUUGGGAUAACUGCUUUUUAGAUUACCGUAAUUUUCUUUUACUUCAUAAAGCACUUCAAAUGAUGAUUUAUUUUUUAACUUGCCAGUUUUAAAAUCCUAUCUGGAAUCAGGGAGAAGGGUGGGUGCGAGUUAUAUUCUUUCAGCCUCUUAAAACCAACACCAGGAAUAAAAUGUCUACACAUUAGAUGUUUACUAGUAAUUAUAUCAGCAGUGUAUAAUUCAGAAUCAAUUUCUGUUUUGCUUUCAUGGUUCUUUUGGCAGUUCUGUUAGGGUGGCCAGUGGGAAAGAUUUAGUAUUGUCUAAAUAGUUUCUGUCUCAGAACUCCAAAGGGACUGAUGAUUGAGCAUAAGGUCCCAUUUUAAAAUGAGCUGAAUUUUACCAGCCUAGGCUUAUGCAGAUGUUUUUAUGAGACAGCUUCUGUAUGUGCCAGGCUGCUAGACAGGGCAUGUUCCAUGCAUAUGUGUCCAGCUUGUUCCUCUCUCCCUGUCUUUUGUCCUCUUUCCCUUUUUGCCCUUCUUUCCUUACUUGCCUUUCUUUCCAUUUGUAGUUUAUAUUAAGAAAACACUGGAAGAAAGGAAAGAAAAACAUGAAUAUUGAAACCAUAAAACUAACUUCAUUGAAACAUAAGUGUCAACUUUGGCUUUAAAAUUCCUAAAGCCAAAGAUAAAAAAGAAACAAACUGAGCUGUCAGUAUCAAAAAGGAAGAUAUAUAUCAGCUCUUAAGAGAAAGUUAAAUAUUUCGAUAGUCCUGGUGGGAUCCUCUUGUGUGUGAUGUUUCUUAUCUCUUGCUGCUUCUAGAAACCCCCCACACCCUCCGAAUUGAAUUCAGGGAUCAUGCACACUAGGCAAGCACUCUACCACAGAGCCACAUCCACAGUCCCUAAAAUUUUUGUCUUUAAAUAGUUUGUUAUGUGGUUUUGUAAAUUCUUCUUUGGGUUGAAUUUGAUUGCAGAUUUGUACUUAGAUGUUGACAUAUUUUCCCAGAUUUGGGAAAUUUGGCACUGUCGUUUCUUUAUUAUUUCUGACUACCUUCCCCCUCCUCCUCCUCCUCCUCCUCCUCCCCCUCCCCCUCCCCCUCCCUCUUCUUCUUCUUUCUUUUUUUACUGAAUUAUGCAGAUCUUAGUUCUCUGGGUAGUGUCUAUAAUUCCUCUAAAAUUUUAUUUAUUCUUUUUCUUUCUUGUUGCUUUUUGCUCCUCCAACUGGAAUUAAAAUAUUCUGUCUUUAAGCUCUGAUUUUAUGCUUGAUUAUACCUGCUAUUGAAGC